UGAGGAAUAGAUGGGGGGGGACAACCCAGCGGGGCUGGUGAGCAGAAGUGAGAAUGAAAGGAACGCACCCCCAAGCAAGCACCGCGUAUCAGGUGACGCUGGCCUCCCCGUCAGGAAGUAUGAACUACCUAUUGACGGGACCAUGACGUGGGACCGACCACAGAGAUUUUUAUCCUGGUCCACAGAUGGAGGAGCGUGGCUCUGAGGAAGCCAGCAAUAGGUCCUAAGGUCAGAGUCAGCCUGAAGGGACCCAGGUCACAUGUGCGGAUGCCUGAGGGUUCAUCCACCAAGCCAAGGCCACCCGUGGAAACGGUCACUCCCUCUGGUGGAGGAAGGGGCCCAGGGGGCGGCUGUAUGGUGAUUAGAAGGUUUUGCUGAACAAAAUGUAAAAAGACCCCCAGGGACCGGAGUCAGUGUCCUAAAUGUGACAGCAGAUGUGACCAUGUAACCAAUUAAUGACCAUUUGGGGGGAUCUGUCCUGUAUUGGGCACUAGGGAUUUGACGCUGAACCUCUACCGACACAUGGGUGAGGGGCUACGGCCCAGAAGGGCAGGCAAGUGGGACCCAUGGGGACGGGGCCCAUGCGAACAAGCACAGGGUGCUAGGAAGAUCGCCCCACAGAGAGGUGGGAGCAGAGGGCGGAGAGGCUGAGGUGGCAGCGCGGCAGCACGGAGCGCUGGGAGAGGGUGCGCGGUGGCCACAGGCUCGGGACACACUCUGUUAGGGACCCGACACCAGAGAAUGUUCUUGGCCUAGGAGAGGACCUGGGUCUGGCCAAAAAGGGGAGGGAGCUGGGCGCGGCCG